GUUCAGCUGACAACUGGCUGCAACCAUGCUCUGCUCCCUCCCUGCCUUUCUCCUGGGCACUUUCUUGGCGGGUAUUCUCCUCCCUGGUGCCAGAGCACAGACCAUCCAUCAGUGGCCACCUACGGAGGUGCAGCACAAGGGCAGCCCACUCUCCCUGUACUGCACAGUGAAAGGGACAUCAAGCCCCAACCUGUACUGGUACCACCAGGCCAGAGGCGGGGCCCCCCAGCUGCUCUUCUCCUCCGUCAUUGUUGACCAGGUAGAGUCUCAGGCGCCCCAGCACUUCACAGCUUCCAGGCCCGAGGAUGGUUACUUCACCCUGCGUUCUGAGAAGCUCCUCCUCAACGACUCUGGCCUCUACCUCUGCGCCUGGAGUAUCACACUGCGCUGGUUCCUGUAG